AUCACUUCUCAGCCUUUUGGUUAAGAUCAAGUGUAGUGUCUUGUUAUUAGUUUAAUAUCUGAUAUAUCCUCUACCCAAGGACAAUAUAUUAAAUGGAUUUUGGAGUAGGGAUUCGCAAUAGGAGUUUGCACCAUAUUGGUCCAUGCAUUGACCUGGUAUUGUACUACCUACAGGAAUGGCAUACUCUUU